GUUGCGAUGGCCGAGUGGUCUAAGGCGCUGUGUUUAGGUGUAGCUGAUGACUAUCAGCUCGCAUUUCCCGCAGUCAGUAAUGGCGUGGGUUCAAAUCCCACUCGCAACA